AUUGAACGCUGGCGGCAUGCCUUACACAUGCAAGUCGAACGGCAGCACGGGUGCUUGCACCUGGUGGCGAGUGGCGAACGGGUGAGUAAUACAUCGGAACAUGUCCUGUAGCGGGGGAUAGCCCGGCGAAAGCCGGAUUAAUACCGCAUACGAUCUACGGAUGAAAGCGGGGGACCUUCGGGCCUCGCGCUAUAGGGUUGGCCGAUGGCUGAUUAGCUAGUUGGUGGGGUAAAGGCCUACCAAGGCGACGAUCAGUAGCUGGUCUGAGAGGACGACCAGCCACACUGGGACGGAGACACGGCCCAGACUCCUACGGGAGGCAGCAGUGGGGAAUUUUGGACAAUGGGCGAAAGCCUGAUCCAGCAAUGCCGCGUGUGUGAAGAAGGCCUUCGGGUUGUAAAGCACUUUUGUCCGGAAAGAAAUCCUUGGCCCUAAUACGGUCGGGGGAUGACGGUACCGGAAGAAUAAGCACCGGCUAACUACGUG
rnacentral:rRNA from 1 species